rnacentral:tRNA from 1 species
GGAUACGUGGCAGAGUGGUCUAUUGCGGCGUACUUGAAAUACGUUGAUGGUCCUCCAUCCAUAGGUUCGAAUCCUAUCGUAUCCG